GACUGGAGAGCCUAGUUGUUAAGGCAUCAUAUACAAGUCAUGUUUCUGCUCAUGUAAGGGUCCUUAGUUCGAAUCCGAGUCUAGUUA